rnacentral:rRNA from 1 species
UUUCCUACGGGGCGCAGCAGUGGGGGAUAUUGCACAAUGGGGGAAACCCUGAUGCAGCGACGCCGCGUGGGCGAAGAAGUAUUUCGGUAUGUAAAGCCCUAUCAGCAGGGAAGAAGAAAUGACGGUACCUGAGUAAGAAGCACCGGCUAAAUACGUGCCAGCAGCCGCGGUAAUACGUAUGGUGCAAGCGUUAUCCGGAUUUACUGGGUGUAAAGGGUGCGUAGACGGAGAAGCAAGUUAGUUGUGAAAUCCCUCGGCUUAACUGAGGAACUGCAACUAAAACUACUUCCCUUGAGUACUGGAGA